CUCAGGAUGAACGCUAGCUACAGGCUUAACACAUGCAAGUCAGGGGCAGCAUGAACUUAGCUUGCUAAGUUUGAUGGCGACCGGCGCACGGGUGAGUAACACGUAUCCAACCUUCCGUUUACUCAGGGAUAGCCUUUCGAAAGAAAGAUUAAUACCUGAUAGUAUGGUGAGAUUGCAUGAUAACACCAUUAAAGAUUUACCGGUGUAAGAUGGGGAUGCGUUCCAUUAGAUAGUAGGCGGGGUAACGGCCCACCUAGUCUUCGAUGGAUAGGGGUUCUGAGAGGAAGGUCCCCCACAUUGGAACUGAGACACGGUCCAAACUCCUACGGGAGGCAGCAGUGAGGAAUAUUGAUCAAUGGACGAGAGUCUGAACCAGCCAAGUAGCGUGAAGGAUGAAGGUUCUAUGGAUUGUAAACUUCUUUUAUACGGGAAUAAACGAAUCCACGCGUGGAUUUUUGCAUGUACCGUAUGAAUAAGGAUCGGCUAACUCCGUG
rnacentral:rRNA from 1 species